UGCCGAUUCGUCUAACGGUAGGACACAUCCCUCUGGAGGAUGUUAUUGGGGUUCGAGUCCCUAAUCGGCAGCCA
rnacentral:tRNA from 2 species